UUAGCCGCUCCCCUUUUAGAUUUCUAGGCCCUCGUCAUAAUAUCCUCUUUGCUUUGCUGUAGCUUGCCAUUAAAUCUUUCAUUCUUUUAUCUGAACGAUCUUCAAUCAUGACACUGACUUCUUUUAAUCUUUAGAAGCACAAAGAACAGGUGGCAUCUUAUUCUUGAUUUGGAGCAAGAUUUCAUAAAUACUAUCCAGCAUUUGGGCUUUCAAAGCACACUAUUCUUGAAGACUUUUGCAAAAGAUUUCACAAGUUAAGCUUCGAAAGAUUUCACUAGUUAGGCUUCAAAAGAUUUCAACUCACAAUUCCAUCAAGCUUCUUGAGAUUUCAAUUACACAAAUUUGUCGAGCUUCACAAGGAGGCUAUUUUGCAACUCCGUGGAGAACAGGUAAUAUGAUGACUUAGUGGCACUACGAAGAACUUGCAAGAGUUUAUUUUGUUCCUCGAGCCAAGUAGCUACCAAGACAACGACCUCGACGACAAUCUUGACACUACAAGAA